UACGUAGGGGGCAAGCGUUAUCCGGAUUCACUGGGUGUAAAGGGAGCGUAGACGGCAUAGCAAGUCUGAAGUGAAAGCCCGUGGCUCAACCGCGGAACUGCUUUGGAAACUGUUAAGCUGGAGUACUGGAGAGGCAAGCGGAAUUCCUAGUGUAGCGGUGAAAUGCGUAGAUAUUAGGAGGAACACCAGUGGCGAAGGCGGCUUGCUGGACAGAGACUGACGUUGAGGCUCGAAAGCGUGGGGAGCAAACAGG
rnacentral:rRNA from 1 species